GUCUCCGUGGCGCAAUGGUAGCGCGUUGGACUUCUACCACCUUAAAACGGUCAUCCAAAGGCUGCGGGUUCGAGCCCCGCCGGAGAUG